GUUCACAAUGUGAUUGUGAGCAAUCAUAUUAUUUUCUUAGAAACAAUGGGAGGAUGAACUCAAAGAGAAAUCUCUAAAGAACAAUGAGUCACAGGACCUGUAUGACCUAUUUAAGAUGAGCCAGUUAUGUAUUACUUCCUCCACCUCAUAGAUCUAGUAGAAUCUUUCAUUCUUUAGAAAGGUACUUGGUAUUCUUAUAAAGAAUUCACAGAAAGUAUUUUUUAAGGA
rnacentral:lncRNA from 1 species